UCAUUUAUAAGAAAAUAUAAAAUAAAAAAUAAACUGUUAAUUAAGAAGCUUCUUGUAAAAUCCCUAAACUUUGGUCACUCUAUGAUCUUCCAAAUUCCUCUAAAUGACAAUUCCUAGAAGUCCUAUAAGGUCUCGUAACCAACAUCUCUGCUCCAUUCUACUACAAUAUUUUAGUUAUGGUGUUCAAUUAUGAUACGAUAGUGGUGCGACAUCGAACUAGGAUCUUGGGGAUUGCAAAUUAUUUUCUUCAGAUGGAUUUUGCGCAGCACUCAUGUAUGGUGCAUCAUUCCUAAUAGGACGUGUUCUAUUAGAAGCACGCCUCUCAGUCGCCAGAGCAAAUGGCUGGGGAACAUUGUACUUUGGGUUACAACUUCCAGCAACAGAUUUGGCUACUGGUUUCACUGAAGUUCUUAGUCUUCUGUUAUCAUCUUUUACUUUUGUACUUGGUUGAUCUUGUUCUUGUCUGCUCUCAACUAGAAUUUCAGUUGUGUAUUCCUUCGUUACAUAAUACUCCCUUUCAACAUUCUCAUUCAGAAUAUCAUUUCUCUACUCCCCAGUGACAUACUCAGGUGACUGCGACACAUCUAGAUUACCGUCUAUCAAGUAAUUUGAAUCCGGGAAACACAUCUGAGUAACUUAUUUUGCCACCCUGCUCCUUUUCCAUACAAGUAUGUGUAACUUCUAACCCCAUCAACCUCCUUAACAAGAAGGUGAAAGUUUAGGUAACCAUCUAAGCUAUCAGUAAUCGAACUUGAAACACACUUUAUAAUGCAACAUCCAUCUCAUUCAAAUCCUUAAAACCAUACAAAGAAAGAUACAAGACACUAAAGAAUAGUAGCAUAUUUUGGUUUUACCUAGUGAGCUAAAAUUCAUCUGCAGUGUCGUUAUAGAUGUCCUCUUGCUUAAUAUAACGUUUAGUGCCUAUUAUUGCUGCAGUAGUUAACUUUGCUUACGCACUUUUAAACAAAUUUGUAGAUCCAAAUGUGUGUGAACGUGGAGGUGGUGGAUUGUGAUAAAUUCUAAUGUGAAACUUUGAUCUUUGUUGUUGUUGAUACAUCGAUAGUUUUGCUAGUUGAUGGGAGUUCUUACAAAGAAAGGAGAAUGAAGUUGGUACUAUAUCAUUCAAGCAUUGAAUAGUUUUGUUAACAAGUGAAGUUGCAGAAAAAAAAAGACGUAGAUACAUGUUGACAAGUGUUAGGUGAACACUUGAUAUCGUUUGUAAAUAAAUGUUGGAUUUCUCAAGGAGUUUUGUAAACAAUAUAAUGAAUAUAUACUUGUAAUAGUUUUAAUUAUGAGAUUCAAUCCAAAAAUUUUUUGUA